rnacentral:lncRNA from 1 species
CUUAUUGGAUGGAGAGAAGGCGUGUUGAUAUAAGAAAGAAUGAAUAAGGUGACUCCUGGAUCCCAGUGUGGAUAGGAGUUUCCCAAGACAUUCCAGGCAGAGGAAAUAGUGAGGUCACUGUGCUUUUAGAGGUCACCUGGUUUAUAGAGCAGCCACAUUGGCUAAGGACAUGUCUGUGCUGAAACAAUGGGACCUUUGAGAAAUCUGUUCCCUCCCAUUGCCUAGCUUAAAAAAAUAUUUUCAGGGAGGCAGGAAAGUGGCUUUUUGUAAAAUGAGCUGCCAACAGAUGAAGAAAGAGUACUCAUUCUUGCUGCUGAAUAAAUUUAAGUGAACUAAAUAAUUAAAAAUAAAAACAUGAAAACAUAAGAAAUCUAGAAGGACAUAUAAAUAACUUUAUGCUUGGAAUGGAGAGAACCACCUAAAGUUAAAGCAGUGGAAGAAAACACAAAGAGAAAAAUCAAUAGAUGUGAAUACACAAAAUAGGCAUUUUAAAUGAUCAAUAUUAAAAGGUUAAAAAGAAAAAAAAGGAAAAAACCUGUAACAAAUCAUAUGAUUGCCGGGCGCAGUGGCUCACGCUUGUAAUCCUAGCACUUUGGGAGGCCAAGGUGGCUGGAUUGCCUGAAUUCAGGAGUUCGAGAACAGCCUGGGCAACACAGAGAAACCCCAUCCCUACUAAAUUACAAAAAAUUAGUUGGGUGUGGCAGCGUGCGCCUGUAGUCCUGGCUACUCGGGAGGCUGAGGCAGGAGAAUUGCUUGAAUCCGGGAGGCAGAAGUUGCAGUGAGCCGAGAUUGUGCCACUGCACUCCACCCUGGGCAACAGAGUGAGACUCCGUCUCAAAAAAACAAACAAACAAAAAAUUGUAUGAUUAUCUCAAUAGAUGCAGAAAAACAUUUGAUAAAAUUCAACAUUUUUUCAAAAUGAAAGCUCUUAAUGAACUUGGCAUAGAAGGAACAUACCUUAAAAUAAUAAAGGCCAUAUAUAACAAACUCAUAGCUAACAUCAUAGUGAAUGGGGAAAAGCUGAAAAUCUUUCCUCUAAGAAGUGGAACAAGACAAAGAUGGCCACUUGUACGGCUCCUAUUCAACAUAGUACUGAAAGUCCUAACCAGAGCAAUCAAGCAAUUGAAAAAUAUAAAAGGCAUCCAAAUUGAAAAAAAUGACGUCAAAUUGUCCCUCUUUGUUAAUGAUACGAUAUCUAGAAAAAUCUAAAAGCUCCACCAAAAAAAAUCUUAGAUUUGAUAAAUUAAUUCAGUGAAGUUGUAGGAUACAAAAUCAAUGUUUGAAAAUCAGUAGCAUUUCUAUACAACAAUAAUGAUCUAACUGAGAGAGAAAUAAAGAAGGCAGUCCCAUUUACAAUAGCUAAAAACAAAUACCCAGGAACAAAUUUAACCAAGGAGGUGAAAGAUUUCUAUAAGGAAAACUACAAAAUACUGAUAAAAGAAAUUGAAGAUGAC